GACGGAGGAGGCAAGCGUUCUCUGGAAUUAUUGGGCGUAAAGGGUACGUAGGCGGCUGGUCAAGUCUGGGGUCAAAGGCCACAGCUCAACUGUGGGAAGGCCCUGGAACCUGGCCGGCUAGAGUGAGGUAGGGGUUGCGGGAAUUCCCGGUGUAGCGGUGAAAUGCGUAGAGAUCAGGAAGAACACCUGAGGCGGAAGCGUGCAACUGGGCCUCAACUGACGCUGAGGUACGAAAGCUAGGGGAGCCAAUGGG
rnacentral:rRNA from 1 species